rnacentral:rRNA from 1 species
UACGUAGGGCGCAAGCGUUGUCCGGAUUUAUUGGGCGUAAAGAGCUCGUAGGCGGUCCGUCACGUCGGCUGUGAAAACCCGAGGCUCAACCUCGGGCCUGCAGUCGAUACGGGCAGACUAGAGUGCGGUAGGGGAGACUGGAAUUCCUGGUGUAGCGGUGAAAUGCGCAGAUAUCAGGAGGAACACCGGUGGCGAAGGCGGGUCUCUGGGCCGUAACUGACGCUGAGGAGCGAAAGCUAGGGGAGCAAACGGG